AGUUAAGUGGUAGAGCGGACGGCUGUUAACUGUUAGGUCGUUGGUUCAAAUCUAUC
rnacentral:tRNA from 1 species